CACGUAGGGGGCAAGCGUUGUCCGGAUUUAUUGGGUGUAAAGAGCUCGUAGGUGGCUGAGUAAGUCGGAUGUUAAAUCCCCAGGCUCAACCUGGGACACCACCCGAUACUGCUCUGGCUAGAGUCCGGUAGGGGAGCAUGGAAUUCCUGGUGUAGCGGUGAAAUGCGCAGAUAUCAGGAGGAACACCUGUGGUGUAGACAGCUUACUGGACCAUUUCUGACGCUGAGACACGAAAGCGUGGGUAGCAAACAGG
rnacentral:rRNA from 1 species